AUGGAGAGCUGUGUGGUCUAACUUCCCCUCUACACUCUGGAAUUUCUGCAAAACAGACACAGUAGAUGGCGAUCCCUUCAACAGAAUGAAUCAAAGAGCAAAUAAUCCAGACAGAAUAGCAAGUCUGUUCCUUCACUGGCAUCGGACUCUACUUCUUCAGGAGUCCAGCAUAGACUGAAGAGGAGCUGAGACACCCAGACUCGACAUUGAGCAACUGCUGCCAUUCAUAGCCAGCCACUGUUAGACUAGCUGGACUACAGCCUGAACACCACACUGGUUCAUUACAUUGAAGACAAAAAUACUGUCUGGACCGAGUGAACACAAGUCCUAUUGCGUGAACUUUCCUGUGAAGAUGUAGACAAAUAUCUACUUACCCAGGUCUCCAGCAGAAGGUGUGGCCCAGAUUAAAGGU